CGAGCGGCCUGAUGGUGUCACCAGAGCGCACUUCUUCCUGGAAGCGGCCUGGGCCCUAGAGAAGCGGCCACGGAAGACCUGCGUGGACGGGGCGCCCAGGGCACCUGGAGAGGAAUCGGAGGCAAGGACACGACGGGGGUGUUCUGAGCCGAGAACACAGGAAGGAGUUCUGGCCCAGGGUCACGAGACGUCCUUGUCCCCUUUUUUCUCUGUCGGGUUGAGUUUUGAGAAGCCAUUCAUUGUUAGGAGCGAGAAACGAGACUGAGGCCAAAUGUGUCACAGUUUGGGGCUGAGUGUUCUCUCUCCCCCCUUCCUCCCUCCCACUCUGCCUGUGCUCACCCCCCUUUCAGAAUGCGCCUUUGGCCCAGCAAUCUGGCCUCCCCAGUCUUCUUCUGAGUGCUGGUGGGCACCGCUGGAGGAGUAGGAAGAGGACUCGGGCAGGCGCCAGCACGGAGCAGUCUGCGCAAGUGUGACUCUGAGGCGCACAGCGUGCGCUCGGGGACAGCCGCAGCCACACGGGCCACGGCGGGCAGUUGCUGCCCCUCCCUGCCCAGCAAUUAAGCCGAGCCUGUAACUACGGCGUGGGCCGGUGCUGUCUGGGGUUUUCUUCCUGGGCAGGUUGUGUGCUCAGGGCCCCCGGGGAAUCUGGGAUAAGACGCUGGGGGCGCUGCCGUGGGAAAGGCCAAGGGACACCGUCUGGAUGGGUUCCCCGAGACCACGUGCUCUAAGCCCCGAAUCUGAUCCCAGGCAGGGUGCCCCGCCUCUCCCAGCUCCGUCUCUGCUCCCCACCGGACCCGCUGUCUCCAGCAGACCUGGAGAAUCAGGUGGGGAAGGCAGUCUUCAGAGCAUUCACUGUGUCAUUCUCUGUGUCCGUCUUAGCGAUUCCUUCUCCAUGUUCAUGGAACACCUCCUGUGGGCAGCACAGUUCCAGGCACUGGUUCUUUCAUUCCAUCAACACUGUUGGUGAGGCUACUUGGACCAGGCGCUGUUCUAGGCAUUAUGGACAGAUCAUGAAUGAAAUGAAGGAAGUCCCAGACCCAGCCUGGUGGAGGUGACAGUGAUGAAGUCACAUGUUGGAGACAACUGCUGUGAACCAGCAACUGGUACCAUAGAAGGGACGAUGGGCAGCUGUACCUGACCUGAAUUUGGGAAGGUGUAAGGAAGGCCGCUGGAAUGGAGGGAUGGCCCAGUUUAUUCUGGGUAGAACCCAUUCUUGGGAACAGCAAGAUAAAAUGGAAAAUGUCAUCUAGCCUGGAGAAAAAUGGACUCUCUGUCUUGGCCUUCCAAUAAUGGUCUGAUCCAAUCCACAUCCUCUGCAACCGUGUUUCUGCCUGCUCAGAAGAAAAAGGAUGAAAAGGACUUUUCUGCAGUCAGGCAGACCCGUGUCAACCGCAGGUGAUCUCAGGUAGAUUGCAUGGCUUCUCUCAGUCUUGGUUUUCUUGUCAGGCAAAGAGACAGAUGAGAUCAAUGCGGUAAUCAUAAUCACCUGUGUUGGGCACUUGCUAUGUGCCCAUCACUGAUUUACAUGCAUCACCUCAUUUAAUCUUUGAAACAGGCUGGGCGCGGUGGCU